CUUUGACGUUAGCGGCGGACGGGUGAGUAACACGUGGGUAACCUACCUAUAAGACUGGGAUAACUUCGGGAAACCGGAGCUAAUACCGGAUAACAUUUGGAACCGCAUGGUUCUAAAGUGAAAGAUGGUUUUGCUAUCACUUAUAGAUGGACCCGCGCCGUAUUAGCUAGUUGGUAAGGUAACGGCUUACCAAGGCAACGAUACGUAGCCGACCUGAGAGGGUGAUCGGCCACACUGGAACUGAGACACGGUCCAG
rnacentral:rRNA from 1 species